CAUCCAUACCUUUGUGAUUUGAGCCUCAGUCAUUGACCAGCUCUUCGAAAAGUGAUAACCAUGGCCAGCGGGAACCUGACAGUAGUUACAGCCAUUACUCUGUAUCAUUGAAAGCAAAACCCCACAGAAACUAUUUAUUAGGUUUUACUGAAAAUAGCAAGCUGCAGGAAGAAUUUAGGAUAGAAGAGGAAUUAUAACCAGAGUGGCUUUCAUAAUGGAGCAUUUGAUACUUGGAAGCACAGUGUAGAGAAUGGGAUGGAAAAUAAGUCCAGCUCUUCUGGGUGACCACGAGGAGAGGAGCACAAGAGUCCUAAAUCCACUUUGGAUGCAAAAGAUCUUAACCCAGUAUCAAAUAUUAAUGUCCUAAUAUGUUUAAGGAAAGCUGAAGUUGCUGUUAUAAUUAAUUUCGUAUCUGAGGAAAAAAAAAGAAAAAAGUAUUGCUAACCACUUUUGGAAAGAAUUACACCAGCUCAGUUGAAAGCUUGUACAGAUCACCUGAAACAGCAUGCAAUAAUUUCAUGAAAUCGUACUGGAAGAGGAAAAGGACAAUUUCACAGUCUAACAGUCUUCAUCUUCAGUCUAAAAUCUUUAAUUUCCUCUAUAAUAUAUAUCUCCAUGAAAGUGAACAUCUCAGAAGACUUAGGCACUACAGACAUGACAGCAGACAAUCCUUUGAAAAUGUUUGUAAGGUUUCACUUGAAAAGGAAAUUAUGCCAAUGGGCAUUAAUCAUUUUGGAGGCUUCAUAUUGCUUCACAGAUAUUUAUAAUAUUAAUGAAAACAGCGAUGCUGUUGUGAGCUAGUGAAUCAAGAUGUUCAUUUGCCCCAGUAACAGCAGGGGCUUGAAAUGAGAAAAAAAAUCUUUCAUACAGAGAUGCUGCAGAGUUUUGAGUAUGGAAAAUCUUAUGAGUAUUGUGACAUUCAAAAAUGUCUCUGAAAAUGUGCUACGCCAAAAAACAUCAAAGGGCUCACCAUUCCAGACCACAUUCAUUUUGCCUAAAUCUGGCCAAAGAAGGACUGUGCAUGAUUAGUAUAUACAAUAGCAUUUGGUCCUGGGCCAAGCUCUCCUCCACCCAAUACCAGCACUGCUCAAUGUUGCGGUUUUUGUUAACCCACUUCUUCCAUUCUACUCUCAGCUUUACAAAACAGAUGGAAGGCACUGGGUGCUGGCUUGGCUUCUUCUGACAAGGCUGUGCCAAAGAAGAGUUUGAAAUUUUGGGACAAAAUUGCUUUCUCUCAUAUCAGACUGAACAAAGCAGCUAUGUCCAGAGAUAUGCUUCCCUAUGAAAAGGAAAAUUAAUCUUCACGUUUUUAUUUAUGGAGGACAAGUUGGUACUUACAUGAACAGAGGUCUUCCUUGGAUGAAUGUUACAAGGAGAGUGGAAGAAGGACUUAGACUAAAACAGGAUUGACAUGCAUGAUGAAUUACAGUUCAUUAAUCCAAUUAAUGAGUAAUUCCAGAAGCUUUAAUCCCAGAUAAAGCUCUUUAUUGCAGCUCUGUUGGCUAGUGAUGCACAAACUAAGAGCCUGUCAGCAAAUCUAUUGUAAAAUUCUAUUAAAUAAAGCUUGCCAUACACUGCU
ensembl:lncRNA